rnacentral:rRNA from 1 species
GGACGAACGCUGGCGGCGUGCUUAACACAUGCAAGUCGAGCGGUAAGGCCCUUUCGGGGGUACACGAGCGGCGAACGGGUGAGUAACACGUGGGUGACCCGCCCUCAGCUCUGGGAUAAGCCUGGGAAACCGGGUCUAAUACUGGAUAUGACUCCAUGACGCAUGUUGUGGGGUGGAAAGCCUUGUGCGGCUGAGGAUGGGCCCGCGGCCUAUCAGCUUGUUGGUGGGGUGANGGCCUACCAAGGCGACGACGGGUAGCCGGCCUGAGAGGGCGACCGGCCACACUGGGACUGAGACACGGCCCAGACUCCUACGGGAGGCAGCAGUGGGGAAUCUUGCGCAAUGGGCGAAAGCCUGACGCAGCGACGCCGCGUGAGGGAUGACGGCCUGGUUGUAA